rnacentral:rRNA from 1 species
UUCGCAAUGCCCGAAAGGGUGACGAAGCGACGCCGCGUGUGGGAAGAAGGCCUUCGGGUUGUAAACCACUGUCGGGAGUUAAGAAAUACAAGGAUAUGAAUAGUGUCUUUGUUUGACUAAAGCUCCAGAGGAAGCCACGGCUAACUCUGUGCCAGCAGCCGCGGUAAUACAGAGGCGGCAAGCGUUGUUCGGAAUUAUUGGGCGUAAAGAGCACGUAGGCGGCUCUGCAAGUCAGCUGUGAAGGCCUUCUGCUUAACGGAAGAACAGCAUCCGAUACUACAUGGCUUGAGUGCGGGAGGGGAGAGUGGAACUUCUGGUGGAGCGGUGAAAUGCGUAGAUAUCAGAAGGAACGCCGGCGGCGAAAGCGGCUCUCUGGCCCAUAACUGACGCUGAGUGUGCGAAAGCUAGGGGAGCAAACGGGAUUAGAUACCCCGGUAGUCCUAGCCGUAAACGAUGGGCACUAAGUAGAGGGGUUUU